rnacentral:rRNA from 1 species
UACGGAGGAUGCGAGCGUUAUCCGGAUUUAUUGGGUUUAAAGGGUGCGUAGGCUGGUAAUUAAGUCAGUGGUGAAAUACUCCGGAUCAACCGGGGGGCUGCCGUUGAUACUGGUUACCUUGAGUUUAGAUGAUGUGGGCGGAAUGUGUCAUGUAGCGGUGAAAUGCAUAGAUAUGGCACAGAACUCCGAUUGCGAAGGCAGCUUACCAGUACGCUACUGACGCUGAGGCACGAAAGCGUGGGUAUCGAACAGGAUUAGAUA